CCUACGGGAGGCAGCAGUGGGGAAUAUUGCGCAAUGGAGGCAACUCUGACCCAGCAACGCCGCGUGAAUGAUGAAGGUCUUCGGAUUGUAAAGUUCUGUGAUGGGGGAUGAACACAAUGACGGUACCCCAAUAGCAAGCCACGGCUAACUACGUGCCAGCAGCCGCGGUAAUACGGAGGUGGCAAGCGUUAUCCGGAAUGACUGGGCGUAAAGGGUGCGUAGGUGGUUUAGUAAGUUGGCGGUGUAAUUCCGGGGCUCAACCUCGGCGCUACCGCCAAAACUAUUAGACUAGAGUGCAGGAGGGGGAAGUAGAAGUCCUGGUGUAGCGGUGGAAUGCGUAGAUAUUAGGAGGAACAUCAGGGGCGAAGGCGACUUACUGGACUGUAACUGACGCUGAGGCACGAAAGCGUGGGGAGCAAACAGGAUUAGAUACCCGAGUAGUC
rnacentral:rRNA from 1 species